rnacentral:ncRNA from 1 species
UUCUUGUUACAGGGGAACUCAGACGAGUUGAGAAAGGUGACGGAUGCGCGGCAUCCGAACCUGACCCUUAGAACCUGUUGGUUAACACCAGCGUAGGGAGGAACACCAAUGAGUAC